rnacentral:lncRNA from 1 species
GCUGAGCAUUUAAUCUGGGAUAAAUGUGACUGACAAAUCCAAAGGACAGGCAUUGCACUAAAAAUAGCAGAUAAGCCAAGAGAAAGGAAACACAGAUUUGAAACAGAGCAAGAGGAAGGGCGACAGCAAAGCCAGAAAACAUCUAGAAGUUUGUACCACAAAAAGAGGGAAACUAGUUUGUCUUCAAUGGCUUUUGGCCAUGUUGAUGGAUGGAAUCGGCCUCAGAAUGAAGACGACCCAGAGGAUAACUAAGUGGCAUGUCUGUCUCUGUCCAGACCAGCACUACCUCCACAGCCUUGCUGCUCAGCCCAGGAAACACCACGGAGUCGACAAGGUAUCAUUUUCAGGAUCAGGGCCGCUAGGCCUCAAAAGUAAUAAUAAUAAACACUUACUCCUCUUCCUAUGUGCAGAACUGCUCUGGGCACUUUACAUAUAUUACGUCAUUUAAUCUUCACAACAACCUUAGGAAGCAGGAGUAUUGUUAUCCCAACUCACAGAUGAGGAGACUGAGGCCCAGAGAGCUCAGGUAAUAUGGUAGGCGAAUCCUAAAGAGCAGCCCCCAAGAUUCCCCCCUCAGGUUAUUCAGUCAAACUCUGAUAUAGAGACCGCCCUGAUGGAUGCUACAGAUGUGCUCAAAGUUCCAAGUCAAUUUCCCUCAAGAUUCCAAGACAACCAGGUAGGUCUGAUCCAAUGGAGUGAGCUCUUAAAAGCAGAGAGUUUUCUCCAGUUGGCAGCAGAAGGGAAAGUCAGUGAGAUUUUAAGCAUGAGAGGGAGUCAACGUUCUACUGCUGGCUUUGAAUGUGGAGGGGUGUGUGUGACAAAAAAUGCAGGUGGGCUCUGAGAAAAGACGGUAGUCUGAGGCGGACAGCAAUGAAAUGAGAGCUCAGACAUACAGCAGCAAGGCACAGGAUUCUGCCAAAAACAUGCGCGAACUCGGAAGUGAAUGCUUUCCCAGAGCCUCUGGAUGAAGACCCAGCCCACCUGACACCUUGACUUUAGCCCUGUGAGACCUCAGAGAGCAGAGAGCCAGGUACACCCUGCUGGGCUUCUGAGCUACAGAACCGUGAGCUAACAAACGGGCGUUGUGUUAAUGCACUAAAUGUAUGGUAAUUUGUUACACAGUAAGAGAAAACUAAGACUGGCAACUUGCCCAAAGUGAGUUAGACAGUAAGCAAUAAAGCCAAGAUUUAAACCCA